rnacentral:miRNA from 1 species
CGCCGCCGCCGCGCUGGGCUGGGCUGGGCUGGGCUCGCACUGGCGGGAGCCGCGCGCUCCGCCGUCGGCACCUCUCCUCUCCAGAGCGCUCCGUCCCGCU